rnacentral:rRNA from 1 species
GACGAACCGUGCGAACGUUGUUCGGAUCCACUGGGCUUAAAGGGCGCUUAGGCGGGCGGUCAAGUCAGGGGUGAAAUCUUUCAGCUCAACUGGAAAAGUGCCUCUGAUACUGACUGUCUCGAGGGAGGUAGGGGCAUGUGGAACUUCCGGUGGAGCGGUGAAAUGCGUAGAUAUCGGAAGGAACGCCGGUGGCGAAAGCGACGUGCUGGACCUCUUCUGACGCUGAGGGGCGAAAGCCAGGGGAGCGAACGGG